rnacentral:rRNA from 1 species
CCUACGGGGGGCAGCAGUGGGGAAUAUUGGACAAUGGGGGGAACCCUGAUCCAGCGACGCCGCGUGAGUGAAGAAGUAUUUCGGUAUGUAAAGCUCUAUCAGCAGGGAAGAAAGAAAUGACGGUACCUGACUAAGAAGCCCCGGCUAACUACGUGCCAGCAGCCGCGGUAAUACGUAGGGGGCAAGCGUUAUCCGGAUUUACUGGGUGUAAAGGGAGCGUAGACGGCGAUGCAAGUCUGAAGUGAAAGGCGGGGGCCCAACCCCCGGACUGCUUUGGAAACUGUAUGGCUGGAGUACAGGAGAGGUAAGUGGAAUUCCUAGUGUAGCGGUGAUAUGCGUAGAUAUUAGGAGGAACACCAGUGGCGAAGGCGGCUUACUGGACUGUAACUGACGUUGAGGCUCGAAAGCGUGGGGAGCAAACAGGAUUAGAUACCCGAGUAGUC